CUCUUCCACACGUCUCCAAGAUUGGACUGAGAGAGCUCAAGAAGAAUCUGUCUUCCAGCGGGUCUGACCUCAAAGAAGUCACCCACACCAGCAUACAUCCAACUGGAGAUGUGCUGAUUAAAAGGGCUGCUGCCAUCUGGAAGGCCCUUGCCCCACCCCAGCCCAAACCAAAAAAGCUUGCUUUUUCUUUUAGCUUGGAAUGUGACCCCCA
rnacentral:lncRNA from 1 species